UACGGGGGGGGCAAGCGUUGUUCGGAAUUACUGGGCGUAAAGGGCUCGUAGACGGCUUUGUAAGUUAGAGGUGAAAGCCCGGAGCUCAACUCCGGAACUGCCUUUAAGACUGCAUCGCUUGAACGUCGGAGAGGUAAGUGGAAUUCCGAGUGUAGAGGUGAAAUUCGUAGAUAUUCGGAAGAACACCAGUGGCGAAGGCGACUUACUGGACGACUGUUGACGCUGGGGUGCGAAAGCGUGGGGAG
rnacentral:rRNA from 1 species